rnacentral:lncRNA from 1 species
AGCUUCUCCGCGCCUCCCCCCUUCCCAGCCUCUCUGGCUUGGUUUGGUGGUUUCCGUGUGGGUCUUCUGGGGCUCUCUUGCACUGGUCCCCACUCCUGGCUGUGCUCUGGGCCCUCUCCGGCAAAUACAGCAAGAGGAAAGGGCGAUUCAAACGGUCAGAUGGGAGCACGUCCUCGGAUACCACAUCCAACAGCUUUGUCCGCCAGGACAUGGCCAGGGCUGGGAAGAAUGACGCUGUGCUUUUAUUGCCCCUCUUGGCAGAAAAGGACCUUGGCUCCUUCAGUGUUUGCCAACCCAGGGAGUCAGACCCCAGCCUCCAAUUCUUCCUCCUUUUAGCUCCCCAGCUCUGAUCCCCGAAGCUGGCAAAAUCUGUGGUGGCCCCAUCCUGCGGAGCAGGCCGUCCACGGCUGAUAGUGCAGAGAGCUCA